rnacentral:rRNA from 1 species
CUAGUUGGAGUGGUAACGGCACACCAAGGCGACGAUCUGUACUUGGUCUGAGAGGAUGACCAGGCACAUUGGAACUGAGACACGGUCCAGACUCCUACGGGAGGCAGCAGUGGGGAAUUUUCCGCAAUGGGCGCAAGCCUGACGGAGCAAUACCGCGUGAGGGAGGAAGCUUUUUGGAGUGUAAACCUCUUUUAUUAGGGAAGAAUUGAUGACGGUACCUAAUGAAUCAGCAUCGGCUAACUCCGUGCCAGCAGCCGCGGUAAUACGGAGGAUGCAAGCGUUAUCCGGAAUUAUUGGGCGUAAAGCGUCCGUAGGUGGCACUUCAAGUCUUUUGUCAAAUCGUGCAGCUUAACUGCAUACGGGCGGAGGAAACUGGAGUGCUAGAGUGCGAUAGGGGUCACAGGAAUUCCCAGUGUAGCGGUGAAAUGCGUAGAUAUUGGGAAGAACACCAGCGGCGAAAGCGUGUGACUGGGUCUGCACUGACACUGAGGGACGAAAGCUAGGGGAGCGAAAGGGAUUAGAUACCCCUGUAGUCCUAGCCGUAAACGAUGACAACUAGGUGUGGUUCGUAUCGACCCGAGCCGUGCCGUAGCCAACGCGUUAAGUUGUCCGCCUGGGGAGUACGCACGCAAGUGUGAAACUCAAAGGAAUUGACGGGGGCCCGCACAAGCGGUGGAGUAUGUGGUUUAAUUCGAUGCAACGCGAAGAACCUUACCAAGGCUUGACAUCCUGCGAACCCUGAUGAAAGUUAGGGGUGCCUUCGGGAGCGCAGAGACAGGUGGUGCAUGGCCGUCGUCAGCUCGUGUCGUGAGAUGUUGGGUUAAGUCCCGCAACGAGCGCAACCCACGUUUUUAGUUGCCAUCAGGUAAAGCUGGGCACUCUAGAGAGACUGCCGGUGACAAACCGGAGGAAGGUGUGGAUGACGUCAAGUCAGCAUGCCCCUUACGCCUUGGGCUACACACGUACUACAAUGCGUUGGACAAAGGGCAGCCAGCCAGCGAUGGUGCGCCAAUCCCAUAAACCAACGCUCAGUUCAGAUUGCAGGCUGCAACUCGCCUGCAUGAAGGCGGAAUCGCUAGUAAUCGCAGGUCAGCAUACUGCGGUGAAUACGUUCCCGGGCCUUGUACACACCGCCCGUCACACCAUGGGAGUUGGUCACGCCCGAAGUCGUUACUCUAACCGUUCGCGGAGGAGGAUGCCGAAGGUGGGGCUGAUGACUGGGGUGAAGUCGUAACAAGGUAGCCGUACCGGAAGGUGUGGCUG